AAACAACAAUUCUAACUCUGACAGCAGAAGCAGACAAAGAGCUAAGCCUAUGCACUGUUCAGGGCAUAAUUCAGGAUAAUAAUUUCAGCUCUCUUGUUUCUUAUACACACCAAGGGAUCCUUUGAAUUGUUGCACUUUGUGACAAAUCCAACAGAAGUGGACAAUGAAAGGAUGUGACAAAGUCAAAAAUAAUAUGCAUCCCAUUAGGAUGGGAAGAACCUACAGAGGUCUGAAGUUAAGAGUAGUACUGAGCAUUCAUGUCUGUGUCUGCUGGUUGAAAUGAAUUCUCAUCAUUUGCAGCUUACUCCUCCUCGGGCUGUUCUCACCAGAUGAUGAGAAUUUUGCAUGUCCAAUGAACAGUCUGUGAUAAAGAAGAUUUAGGAUGAGGAGAAAGAAAUGAGUGCAGGUUUAUGAUUUCAGAUACAUCCACCCAGUAGAUGAUAAAUCUGGAUACAUUAACCGGGUGUUGGACUGUAGAGAAGAAGAUAACGAGUCUCUAUCCUGUCUGCAGAUGCUGCCUAAUUUGCACAUGGAGAGAGCUUUCUGGUAUUGUGGAAGAUAAGCUCAUGGAGGAACUGGACAAUGACACUCACCCAAGAAACAUGGCAGGUCCAAGAUUCUAAACCACCAAAAAGAAAACACCUAUUCCAUUUCCCCUCAUCUGAUGUAUGCAACGAUUCAUGAUGAUAUGUCCUGUUCUUGGAUCAUCCUACAGGAUAAAGUAUACAGACAAUGCAUUCAUCAAACAAGUGUUCCUUUUCCCCAUAAACUUCUCAGAAUCUAAGUUGAAACUGUGUAAAGAAUCGUUUGUUUCUUUUUCCUGAAAGCAAAUCCUUGAUCCAACUUCUGAAUUUACAGUCCAUGUCAUUAGAUCUCAGAAAGCUGUAGUCAUUCCGAACAAACAGAGUGGCAGACAUGCACCAAUUUUCUUGUGCCUCCAUAGAUCCAGGAACAUUUCUUCUCUCUGAUGCCACUCCAUCAUUCUUCUCCUUUUGGUUCUCGCUGCCAUAGGAUGGAUGCUACUUGACGAAAAAACUUGUUUUCUUUCUCAUCAAGUUUUGGCGGAGCGGCUGGGCUGAGCAUGGAUUUGCACAGGGUUCAGUGAUGAAGGAGAUGAUGCACCAAUUAUGGCUAUGACUGAUUCAUGAUUCAGCUUUGUUCUUAUCAUUUUCUUCAACUCUUAUGUAAUUAGUUUCUCAGCAAUUGGAAAGGAAGAUUGUUAUUAA